rnacentral:lncRNA from 1 species
CUGAGCCAGCGAAUCACGUGGUCGGCAGCUUCCGGGAGCCCGCGGGCCCAGGAGCUCCUGAGUCGGGGUGACAGCGUCCCGCUGCUGGGAAAGUGGGCGGGGCCGCGCGGGGUAGUCCUAGAUCUGCAGUGUGCGAGUUUGCCGGAUGUGACUGUAACUUCGCUAGCUAAAAUGCUUGAGAGCGGACCCUUCAUCCCUUUGAGCAUGUUUCUUCCUAAAAUGCGCGGAUACCGGGAGAUCAAGAUGAGGGAUGUCAUGUGCCUUGUGAACUGUCACCCGCCGUGCGUAAGUGAAUGACGUUUUGACCUCACAGGACUGUUUUGGGGCAUAAAUGAAACAGUGUAUGUUAAACCAGGUUUUCGGCUGUAUGAGAGGAGAAAUAAAAUUAGAAGUUUGUGUCUGCCACCACGCAGAUUGUGAACCAUAGUCAAUGUUUUAUAUUCGUUUUUGUUUCCCCCGUCAGAGCGUAUGACACCUAACAGACGCUCAAAACGUUUCUUAAGGAAACGGGCUGGGCGCGAUGGCU